GGCGCUAUAGCCAAGUGGUUACGGCGACAGAUUAGAAUAGGUGGAUUUAGGUUCCGAUUCAAUCUGUUCCUCUUUGAGGGCGCAGGUUCGAAUCCUGCUGGCGUCG